GGACCAACAGGCCUCUGUGGAGUGAACCGAUAUCGAUUGCGUUAUUUUCAGUAGUGGUAGGCGGACGGGUAGAGAUUGCAAUGUAUUCAUAAAGGAGUAUUGUGUGCGCAGACUUUCAGCAUUAUGGCGAGUCUGGCAGAUGUUUUCACUGGGAAAGAAAGGACGAACUGGCUGAAGGCAUGGCUGGCAGUAGAUAUUGCAAAGUCUGGCUUAGAACAGUUCGCAGAAAACGAGGCAAGAACUGUACACACUAAUAUAUACAAGACUGUUUUGUCAAGUGUUCCGGUGCCAGUUGCGUGCAAUAUCUGUAACACAGCAAACUUACUGCCAUGCCCUACACAAAGAAUAUGCAAUAACAGAGGCGCAAAUACUCCAUGUACGCGUAUGCAUGAUACCCCGGAAAAACAACCACGACUGUGUCCUAGUACCGUUUGUAAUAAAGUUCUUAACGAAAUUGUAAAACAACACAAAUAUGUGAAUCCUUCAUGGAAGAAUACCACGGCGACCCAAUGGGCAUCAACGCCUUGGCAAAUUGCCAAGGCGUUUUUACCUCCGGACGGAUAUUCUGGAAAGAGUUCAGUGCAAGAUACAGACUUUAACGGAAUAGUCAAUUUUAUGAUGAACUGCAAACACUUCGACACCAAGUUUUCGUUCCCCAUAGCUGCAGGAAAGAACAGUCCUCCAUGUCUUCUGACAAAGGCACGUGACAUUUGCAGGAUUGUCCGUCACUCGUCCCAGUGUGAACUCACAGACGCAGAUCUCCAGGACAUCUUCACAACACUGACUAACCUGCUGUCUGACCCAACGUGUCUAGCACAAGACGUCGCAUCACAGGAAGCUGUAAAGAAAUUAGCAAAGCUGCAAAACGACGAUUUACUACAUGCUGUUAACGAGAAACUUGUUGAAGUUGACACUAUAGCUGAGAGGACUCUUGCCGAGAUACGGAUACACGCGGACAAAUGUAAACGAGAACUUGAUGAACACACUGAAAGACAUAAGUUACCAAAGGAUGUUCAACAGUUGGAUGAGAAAGCAACGACCCUCUUUUAUAAAGCUCUUAAACAUGGAAAAGAACAGGUCAAUAAUAUUCGCCUGAUGGUCGUAGGUAUGUUUGAUGUGGGAAAAACGUCUUUGGUGAACAAUUUGAUUUGGGAAUUUCGUAACAAAACACACACAAAACAACCUCUCAGCACAGAAGGUAUCGAUAUACAUAGGUGUAAGUUGAUGACAGAUGGCCAUUGGUGCUUAGAUACAGAAUUAAUACGGGUGAAGUUUGGAGGUCGCAUUGAAAAAGUCGUUUCUAAGAACACAGUCACAGCUACUGAGGAUCAUGAAACUUUUAAAGAAAGAAUAGCCUUGCAUAAAGGAGAUGAAAUUUUACAACAUGGAAUUAAGGUUGCCAAGAGGAAGCUUGAAACUACUUCGCUUGAUGAAUCAACAAAUGAGAUCACUACUUCGCUUGAUGAAUCAACAAAUGAGAUCACUGUGUCUGUAUGGGAUUUUGCAGGUCAGACUCUGUACUAUUCAACACAUCAGUUCUUUCUGAAUGAGAGGUCUAUAUAUGUAGUCGUGAUGGACAUGACAAGAAGUUUGAAAGAUAUUGUAAGUAAAUCAGAUGGAAUUGGAAUUUGGUGUGGUUUGGUGGAUAGUUGUACCUAUUUGGAUAUUUUUAAAUUUUGGCUUAAUGCAAUUCACAUGAAUAGUGAUAAUCAAUCUGGAGAAAGGACAAUAAAGCCAAAUGUUAUUUUAGUUGGCACGCGGAAAGACAAAAUGAAGGGGAGUGCUGAAGAAAAGGAGGAAAAUAUGAAUUUGUAUUUUGACAAUGCUUUAUGUAGCUUUGAUAAACACUCACCAAUCUUUAAUCACAUUUAUAAGAACAGAUUUCUUGUAAAUAAUUUGUCUCCAGAGGAUUCUGCUUUUGCAGAGUUACGAAAAGAAAUUAUAAGUUUGGCUGCAAAGCAAGAUUACUGGGACGAAGAAUAUCCAGUUCGAUGGAUUCAUAUGGAACAAACAUUGGACAAAAUGAGAGAUAAAAAGCGACAGAUAGUAAAAAUGAAGGAUGUUGAAAAAGAAGAUCUUGAAAACUUACACCCACUGGGUAUAGAAGAGCUUACCUUGUUUCUUGAAUUGCAGCACAAACAAGGCAAUAUCAUUUUUUUCAACUCGGGCGCACUUAAAGAUUUUGUUGUUCUUGCUCCUCAAUGGAUCAUUGAAGCUUUCAAAUGUUUCAUACCGCAUAAUCAGAAAAUAGAAGCCACUGUUUUAAAAGAUUGGGAAGAAUAUAAAAAAUAUGCUAUUCUCAAACCAAAUGUUCUGGACGAAGUUAUGAAAAACAGUCCUCCCUACAUACAUGAAUACCAGACGGCUGUUAUGAAUUACAUGGAAUAUCUAAAUGUUAUAGCCAAACCUUUAACAAGUGAAGAGGGUAUAACUGGAAUCCCGUUAGAUUUCCACAUCGUUCCUUGUCUACUUAGUAGGGCACCACCGCCACUGCACAUCUUUACCUCACCACCUGAUAAACCCCAAACACCAGUUUUAGCUUUUGUGUUUUGCGGAAAGUUUUUGCCCCCCUCUCUUUUCCACAGGCUUGUUGCAGUGUGCAUUCGUGCUUGGCCUAUCUGCCAGGAACGUGGCCAAUAUUGUUUAUUUAACGGCUUGGCUAUAUUUACUCUUAAUGAUACCUAUACAUUGAGAAUAUGGUAUAUGGAUUACAUUAUUUAUGCAAGGAUAGUUUGUUGCUCAGAAAAUGAGCAGUUAGACAAUUUCAUCUGGCUAUUUCAAGAGGUUAGACGCAAACUUAAGAAAAGUUUGAAAGACUUUUUUCAUCAAUCAUCUUCUGUAUUUGAAGAGUGUAUUCAGUGCCCAGACAUGAAGGUGUCCUUGCACAAUGAAGGGUUGUUCAUAGUAAAAAAGUUCAAGUACACAAAUGCUAUAGCUUGUCGAGUAUGUAAUCCGCAUGCUGUGACACGAUCAAAUGCUAUGAAACAUUGGUUCAAAGAGAAGUUAGAUCGAAUAGAAACAGAUGAUGAUUAAUAUGGGAAAACGCUAGUGAUAUAGGUCAUUACAAUCCUAAAAGGUAAGAUUGCCCCUUCUUCUACAGACCAAAGCACAACCGGCACUAGAGGCUAUUAAAAACUGUAAAACAAUCUUGCCCACUAGUGACCAGACCUGUUUGGUGAAGGGCAAUUUGAACAGAUUGACAAGUAUUUUGUUUCAUGUUCUCAUAUUGCUUUAAUGUUCAACUUGGGUGUUAUGUUUACUCUAAUGGUUACAUGUUACCCUCCAGAUUUGCUAAUAAUUUUGUAUAUUAGUGUAAAUACAUUAUUUGUUAUAUUACAGUUAUUGUGAAUAUUUUUUUUUGCAUUGAGUGAAAAUGUAUGCCAUGCUUCUGAACACGGUUAUAUAAAUAUCAAGACAGAUACAGAAUAUAGUAUUCAUUUAUGUUCUUAAAUCAAGAAUGGUCAUUAAAAAUUUGUCUGUAACAAGUUUAUUUGGAAAACCAUGCUAUAACAUGUUACAAUAGCAAUUUUCCCCUUUGCUUUGGAAAUAUCUUUGAGGAAAGGUGAUUUAAACUCCAAAUAAAUCCCUUUACAAUGUAUUGUUGUAUAUGUUUAUUUGUUGUAAAUAUUGAACACAAAUUUUAUCAUUCUUUAUUGAAAUGUUUGUUUUUGAAAUGAAUUUAUGUUGUUCACAAAAUUAUCCACACUUAAAGUGAAACCUAGAUUCAUAACAUUAAGCGACUAAAUAUUGGUUAAUUUUAGAAAGAUAAUUGAACAGAGACAAUGGAGUAAUUAUGCAAUACAGACAAUUAGUGCCCAUUGUAGUACUGAAUAAAAAAAAGAUGACAUGUUAUGUGUACAAAAUGUUUUGACUGGGUUGAUUAGUUAUAAUAUUAUUAAUUUAUUUGUUGUUUAUAAUUUAAUGAAUUUAUUUGUCAAUACCAUGAUGUUUCAACUUUAAAAGUUUGUCAUUUAGUAAUACUUUGUGUAAACUAAUAUAAUUAUAAUUGUAGGUCACUAGAAUUGAUAAUUAUAAUUAUUGUUUAAUAUAUUAUAUAAUUUACUUAUUUUUUAUGCCCCCAAAGGAGGGCAUAUAUUGUAAUCGCACUGUCCGUCUGUCUUUCCGUCACACUUAUGUUUAGGUUUUGAAAAAUGCUCAUAACUUCUAUGUUGCUUCAGACGUAACCUUCAUAUUUGGCAUGCAUGUGUAUCUCAUGGAGCUUCACAUUUUGAGUGGUAAAAGGUCAAAGUCAUCCUUCAAGUUCAAAUGUCAAAACACAAAAUCCAAGGAUUGUAACAAGCUUUAAAGGGAGAUAAUUUCUAUUUUAUAUCAUUUGGCAGGUACAGAUCAUGUUCACAAGGGAAGUAAUAUUUUUUAAAGUGAUAUAGUCAAAAAGUAUAAAAAUCAGGGUGUUGGUUUUCCAGCAUUAUAGUAUAUAAUUUUGAUUCAAGUAUUAAUAUUUAUGCCCCCCUUAGAAGAAGUGGGGGUAUAUUGUUUUGCACAUGUCUGUCGGUCGGUCCGUCCGUCGGUCCGUCCACCAGAUGGUGUCCUGAUAAUAACUCAAGAACACUUAGACCUAGGAUCAUGAAACUUCAUAGGUGCAUUGAUCAUGACUGGCAGAUGACCCCUAUUGAUUUUCAGGUCACUAGGUCAAAGGUCAAGGUUACAGUGACUCGAAAUAGUAAAAUGGUUUCAGGAUGACAACUCAAGAAUGCUUAGGACUAGGAUCAUGAAACUUCAUAGGUACAUUGAUCAUGACUGGCAGAUGACCCUAUUGAUUUUCAGGUCACUAGGUCAAAGGUCAAGGUCACAGUGACUCGAAAUAGUAAAAUGGUUUCCGGAUGAUAAAUCAAGAAUGCUUAUGCCUAGGAUCAUGAAACUUCAUAGGUACAUUGAUCAUGACUGGCAGAUGACCCCUAUUGAUUUUCAGGUCACUAGGUCAAAGGUCAAGGUCACAGUGACUCGAAACAGUAAAAUGGUUUCCGAAUGAUAACUCAAGAAUGCUUACGCCUAGGAUCAUGAAACUUCAUAUAAACAUUGAUCAUGACUGGCAGAUGACCCCUAUUGAUUUUCAGGUCACUAGGUCAAAGGUCAAGGUCACAGUGACUCGAAAUAGUAAAAUGGUUUCCGGAUGAUAACUCAAGAAUGCUUACGCCUAGGAUCAUGAAACUUCAUAGGUACAUUGAUCAUGACUGGCAGAUGACCCCUAUUGAUUUUCAGGUCACUAGGUCAAAGGUCAAGGUCACAGUGACUCGAAACAGUAAAAUGGUUUCCUGAUGAUAACUCAAGAAUAAUUAGGCCUAGGAUCAUUAAACUUCAUAGGUACAUUGAUCAUGACUGGCACAUGACCCCUAAUGAUUUUCAGGUCACUAGGUCAAAGGUCAAGGUCACAGUGACAAAAAACGUAUUCACACAAUGGCUGCCACUACAACUGACAGCCCAUAUGGGGGCAUGCAUGUUUUGCAAACAGCCCUUGUUAAACUAUACUUACAUGUAUAAGCUUUGGCUACUCAAAACGACAUUUCUUUAUUGCCUGAAAUAAUUAUAGUUCGAUUUGGUGAAUUGUUCUGUUGUUAACAUCUGACUGUUUAAGGCAAACGAACGUUUGUUUCAAUAGUUGACAAGUUUAAUCUUAAAAUUCGGUAUAUAAAUAAAACAUAGUACGAAAUAUUUUCAUUUUACUAUUAAAAGCAGUAAGUAAAAUGGUACAGUUGCAGUGAACUUAAUGUAUAGCAUCAGUUUGUAAUCAAGUCAUGUAUUCUAUUAUGAGAUCGGUGAUUGUUUUUCAUAUAUGGCUUUUUAAGAUUGUGUUUGAUGUGUAUUUUUAUUAAGUAUAUGUGCAUAUUACAUCGCCUUGUAAGUUCGAUAUGACGUUUAAUGAGUUCGUCUAUUAAGAGUCAUUUUUGUUUACUCUUGUCAGCCGUGGCUUGAAAUGCUUACAUGCAAUGUGUAUGGCGUGAAAGGAAAAAAAGGUUAAGUAUUGAGUUUUCUUUAUGUUUGUGUACUUCAUUGCAUUACAUAACUAUGACAUGUAAUCUCCAAAAUAUUAAUAAAACAUGCUUUAAAAUGUAAAAAUUGUGUUCACUAUUAUAUGUUUUAUUGCCUGUUUGAAAAAUCAUUUAAAAGAACUAGUGUAUAUUAUACUUCAUUGUGUACAUGUAUUUAACCAGGUUUUCCGAAGGAAAAAACUGGUUAUUAGAUUGGCGAAUGCGGGCGGGCUGGCGGGCUGGCUGGCUGGCGGGCUGGCGGGCUUGCUGGCGGGCUGGCGGGCGGGCGGAACAAGCUUGUCCGGGCCAUAACCUUGUCUUUCAUUGUGAGAUUUUAAAAUCAUUUGGCACAUUUGUUAACCAUCAUUAGACGGUGUGUCGCGCGAAAAAAUUACGUCAAUAUCUACAAGGUCAAGGUCACACUUUGAGGUCAAAGGUAACAGAUAGCCAUAAAUGAGCUUGUCUGGGCUAUAACUAUGUCAUUCAUUAUGAGAUUUUAAAAUCAUUUGGCACAUUUGUUCACCAUCAUGGGACGGUGUGUCGCACGAAAGAAUCACGUCAAUAUCUCCAAUGUCAAGGUCGCCACGACUAAAAAUAGAUUUUUUUAAAAACAAACUUACAAAGGGGGUUAAUUUUGUUUGUUCAUUUCAAAAGUUCAGUUUGAGUUGUCUCCCUUUAUCAGAUUUUUUCACAAUGAAAACCUGGUUUUGUGACAAUUUUGUCCCUUGUUUGUUAUUUAUAAUGAGAUAAAAAAAAGUCCACGUUUAUCGAGGUACCUUUUUAUGUUGAAUUUAAAAAUACAAUGUUUGCGCUUAUGUUGGUGUUGUAUCAUGAAACGUUUUUGAAAUAACAUGUUUAAAUUUUUAAAAUUACUGAAUAUGCAUUUAUUCGUUCAUAACAUGUUGGCAUAUCCAUGUGCAAGCACGCAUGUAUUGCAUUAUGUUCGAAUUAUUCUUCGGUGAAUUGUUUUAAGCAUAAUGUUUAUGAUUGAUAUAUUUACAAAAACAAGUGUAGAAAUAAUUUGGAGUUUUGCAUGUAGGACUUAUGUUACAUUUACUAUCCUUUAUUGAAAGUGUCCAGCAAUAACUGAUGUACCAGAAAUUGUAUUGAAUUACGAAAGAGGUAAAAUAUGUUUUCUUGAGAAUGCAUGUACAUGUAUAUAACAAGUGUUGCUGUUUUAUUGAUGUUAAUAACAUAUACCAUUCGGAAUGUCUCUUCGAUUUGUAUUGCACCGAUGAUGAUAUAUUGUGUUAAUGAGUUAUGUCGAUGAACAUACUUCUGGAGAUGAGCGUUUCUAUAAUGUAAAGAGUUGACGGUAUGUUUCACUCAUCUAAAUGUAGAAUAUGUUUAAUAUAUAAUACACAUGUAAUUUGAAUAUACAUUGUAAUUGAAACACGAAAAUGUGUAAAUUCUCAAGAAUGUGUCGAAAACAUUGUUGUAAAAAUUCCGAAAUAAUUGUGUCACUUGAUAAUGGCGAAUUAAUGUAUUGAUUUGUUUGUGAUAACCUCAGUGUUUUUGUUUUUAAAAUGCUUUUAUUAUUGAAUGCAAGUAUGCAGCGUGAAAAGAAUACACAUCAUAGUAAAAAUGCGUGUAAUAUUGACGGACUUUUUUCUCAUAAAAUUCACAAAUAUCGUUCAUUUCCAUUUGGGUAGCCUAAAAAAUGCCUUGCACCUGCAUUUUAAAGUUAUCAUGUACGGGAUGAAUAUUUCAAUUCCGUGCAUUUAUACAACAUCGCAGAAAUCUUAGAUGAAAUGCCCACCUAAUUUGUAAUUUACUUGUACGUAUUAUAUUUUCUGAAAUUAUAUUACGGUGUAUUUGUUCUUUACGUGGAAUAAAUAUGUUUCAUGUUUAAA